ACGGGUGAGUAAUGCCUAGGAAUCUGCCUGGUAGUGGGGGACAACGUUUCGAAAGGAACGCUAAUACCGCAGACGUCCUACGGGAGAAAGCAGGGGACCUUCGGGCCUUGCGCUAUCAGAUGAGCCUAGGUCGGAUUAGCUAGUUGGUGAGGUAAUGGCUCACCAAGGCGACCAUCCGUAACUGGUCUGAGAGGAUGAUCAAUCACACUGGAACUGAGACACGGUCCAGACUCCUACGGGAGGCAGCAGUGGGGAAUAUUGGACAAUGGGCGAAAGCCUGAUCCAGCCAUGCCGCGUGUGUGAAGAAGGUCUUCGUAUUGUAAAGCACUUUAAGUUGGGAGGAAGGGUUGUAGAUUAAUACUCUGCAAUUUUGACGUUACCGACAGAAUAAGCACCGGCUAACUCUGUGCCAGCAGCCGCGGUAAUACAGAGGGUGCAAGCGUUAAUCGGAAUUACUGGGCGUAAAGCGCGCGUAGGUGGUUUGUUAAGUUGGAUGUGAAAUCCCCGGGCUCAACCUGGGAACUGCAUCCAAAACUGGCAAGCUAGAGUAUGGUAGAGGGUGGUGGAAUUUCCUGUGUAGCGGUGAAAUGCGU
rnacentral:rRNA from 1 species